rnacentral:lncRNA from 1 species
CAAGGUUAGAAGAUACACGCAAGAUUGCCUGCCACACACAUCGGGUCUUGUUCCUGUCCAGUAUUUGCAUGGAGAUAUCAAGUUAAUUAGGGAGCUCUUUCUGAGAUGAAGAGAAUUCUCAAUGUCAAGAUUUGAACAAGAAGAGAAUGGAAUACACAAUAUGGACAUCCAUAAAAAUUCAUCAGAGAGCAUUUUACUACUGAGCUGCAAAGGGAAAAACUUAAAAUGGAUAUGAAAAGUGAAGAAAGUGAUCAUAGGAGAAAACCAUUUCAGGUAAAAAUAAAAAACAAAGAGCAAAUAAGAUUUACUGUUUUUAAAGAAAAACAACAUUCUUUUGACUGUGUUUUGUUAUAAGAAUUAAUUUCAUAUUCUUUAUGAGUGUAACUGUUGAAAUUUUAUUGAUGGUUUUCAUUUGAAAAUGUGUGCUAUGACCUACCUUUGUGAAAAAUUUCUUGUGGUCAAUUGGGCAGUUUGUGUCCCAUUGAAUAUAUGUCUGUGUAUCCAUACGCUUAAGAUAGGUGCAAUACGGUUUACUAGAAAGCUUUAUAGGAAAA